AAGGAGGAUUUGGGGGUCUGAGAGUGCGAUUCUGGAGCAAUAACGGGGUCUGGGAUGGGGAUUUGGGAGUCAGAAAGGGGGAUUUGGGGUCAUAGAGGGGGCUGCAGGUCCUGGCAGGGCAACCCUUUGUGCCGCAUGUCACUGUUAUGGGAUUUGAGGCUCCAGAAGUGGGAUUUGGUGCUCCAGAAGUGGGAUUUGGGGCUAUGAGAUGGGGUUUUCGGGGUCUGGGAGCGGGAUUUUGGGGUCAGAAAGGGGAUUGGGGGCCACUUUGGGGCCUACCCUCGCGCCUCAUGCCGCUGGCCAGGCACUUCUGGUAGCGGCAGUACUGGCAGCGGUUGCGCUGCCGCUUGUCCACCACGCAGUCGCGGUUGUCCCGGCAGCUGUAGCUCAGGUCCUUCCGGAUCGUCCUCUUGAAGAAGCCCUUGCAGCCCUCGCAGCUGUACACGCCGUAGUGCUUCCCUGCGGGUCGGGGGGCAGGGGUCAAAGGUGGGGGUCACCGGGGUCAUGGGGGACAUCGUCGGGGUCAGUGGGGUCGUGGAAGUCUUCAUUGGGGUCACUGGGGUCAUGGGGGACAUCNNNNNNNNNNNNNNNNNNNNNNNNNNNNNNNNNNNNNAUGGAAGUCAUCACUGGGGUCAUCAUUGGGGUCACUGGGGUCAUCUUUGGGGUGAUGGAAAUCAUCAUUGGGGUCAUCUUUGGGGUCACUGGGGUCAUCUUUGGGGUCAUGGAAGUCAUCAUUGGGGUCACCGGGGCCAUGGGGGACAUCAUUGGGGUCAGUGGGGUCGUGAAAGUCUUCAUUGGGGUCACUGGGGUCAUGGGGGACAUCGUUGGGGUCAUC
rnacentral:lncRNA from 1 species